ensembl:lincRNA
GGGCUCUGAACUCUACCAAACACAAGGGUGUGUUUAUCUGGAAUCCCUUCUCAGACAUUUACAGCCUAGCACAAGCCUGAAGAAGAGGGAUGAGAAGCAUCGGAGAAGUAAUUCUGUGACCACACUGUUUUAAAACUGCAAAUCAAAUGGAUAAAGGGCCCAAAAGUAUGAGUAAAGGCACCAGAGGCUGUUGCCUUCCAACUUUCUAAGCAAGCUUUACCCAAGCCGUGGGAUUGUACACAUUCCCAUGGAAGUCAGAUGUGUGCCAUACAACCAGAGGCGCCAUUGGAACCUACCCUUUAUUCCUGGAUGCCACCUACGGCUGUCCCAGAAGACUCAGGCCCCAGCAGUCUGAUUCCUGACCAAGGUGGAAGUAUGUUUCAGACUGUAUCCAGAUUUUGUGCCUGUGCCUUUGGAUGGGGAAAGAUGCCUCUUAUCUACUCUAAAGAAAAUACUAACGGCAAACAGUUCUCCUACCCUAUAAGUCCCAGGCCUUAUAAGGUGGGCGUGUGGCUCCCAACUACCAGUCUGCUAUGGUGUAAACUCUCAGAGACUGCCUAUGAAGUCAGUGAUAAAACUGGAGACAUCAAGGGGAUUUUCAGCUUGAUCUGUCCUUUGUGGCAGGUGUUGGACUGUUACCCAGACACCAGUGCUUUGGGAACACAAAUGAGUGGAAUAUGUUUGUAAAACUUGUCAUUCAGCAUUCCCAGAGGACUUAGCCACAGAUUGUGGACCAAGCUGGGAUUCAAAGGCCUGGACAGUUGCCUGCCAUCCCCUGCCAGGCCUGUGAGCCCAUGAGAGGAGGACAUCUCCUGGGUAUGCUAUGGAGCCCUUUGGGUUCCAGAACUUUGCUUGGACACCUGGAAUUCAAAUUUUUCCCACUGCUGGAACAGAAUAAAUAAAUGCACACCAGGGCAGCCUUCUACUGUUUCAUUCUCUGAAUGUGUCAUUUGUAGAGCUGAAAUGUAUUCCACAAAAAUACCGUUGACACACAAAUUGCCAAGGCGUCAGAAUCCACCCAGUGUAACACUCUUCUUUAAAGACAUGGAAACUGAAGCACAUGGGGGAUGGCACUAAUGAUGCCUAAGUUUCCCUACUCUCAGCAUGUUUAGUAUGCCUUUCACCUUUACAUGUUAUUUCAGGGAUUAAAUAUAUUUUGUGGAAGCUUAUUAGGCUGUUUUAUUAAAUUUAUGUAUCAAUUGGUUCUUCCUCAUUGUUGAUAAUUGUUACUGUUGUGUCAGGCAAUAAUCAAAUCAUACAUAUUGAACAAUUGUAACCAUUGAUUUCAUAAUUUUGCCUACUUCAGUUAUCACAAUAAUAUUUAUUUAAGACUAACCUUGGGCCAGACAUUAUUCUGAGUGGUUUUCAUUAAUUAAUCUGUUCAUUCCAACCAUUUUCUAAAACAUAUUUCUCAUUGUCCUUAUAUUGAAAGGACAUAAACCAAGGGCAGCUUGAUAAUCAAUGUAUCAAAACAUGUAGGAUAAUCUAUGCUACACAAACAAACAAGCCUAAGUCUUCCUUGACUCAUUACGGUAAAGUUUCCAUCUCCCUCUCACAUUAUCUAUACAUCUUUGGUUGUUGGUUCUUUCCUCUGGGACCCAUAUGGAAAGAGUUGACCUAAUCUCUGGCCUUGUAUACACACAAAUAUUUUAAGUAGAAUAUCUGGGGCUUUUAAAAACAAAUUAAGGAAGGGUACAAGCUUCUUCCUAUGAAAUUCACUGCCCAAAGUAAAUUGUAUGGCUAUUCUUAUAUGAAGGAGGUAGAUACCAGUCUCCAACCAGGAAGACCCACAUGCUGAAGGAUGAAGUUCACCACUCUCACUAACUUACUCAUGACAUCAUGAAAUGUAAAUUCCGAUGGCAGGGUCUGAAUUCAGGGUGGUUCCAGAGCCCAUUCAGUUAACUAACAAAUCACCCUCUGCCAUGGAUGCUGGGACAUAUCUUAGAAUCCAAGGCCAACCUUGGGUCCAUUCUUUUGCCUCUGUAAAAUGUCCUGAUAAGGCACAAGUGCUCACCACUACAUCUCAGGGCAAGCAGUUGAUAGUGUUCUCAAGUGCUUCCUCCCUGGUGGCACCAGCCUGUGAGUCACUGCCAUCUAAGUGAAAAGACAAGCCCUCCAGUAACUGUCACUUCUGUGAAUAGUAGUUCCUUUAAAUUUAUCAUAAACUUGUAGAGGAAUCAGGCCCUAGGAAGAGGGCAAAGGCAGCUCCUUUCAGUGCUGAUAGACUCAUGAUGGAAUCAUGCCAGACGGCUAUGUAGCCUCUCAUGCAUGUGUCACAUACCAGUCAAAGUAGGCAGCUCCUUCUACAGGUAGCUUUAAUUGGGAAGACCAACCUUUAGUUGAGUUCCUCCCACAUCUUUCAUUCUGGGGUACAUAGGAAAAAGUCAGUGAUUUAACUGUAUAACAAAAAAACAAAAAACAAACCUAGAUAGACAUAUAGACAU